UAUCAUGAUGAUUUUUUUUUUAAAUUUUAUUAACUUUCGUUCUACCGAAUUACAUCAAACGAUGUUGGGGAUACAAUUUUUAUCUGAUU
rnacentral:snoRNA from 1 species